UAGGGAAUCUUCCACAAUGGGCGCAAGCCUGAUGGAGCAAUGCCGCGUGAAUGAUGAAGGUCUUCGGAUUGUAAAGUUCUGUUGUUAGCCAAGAACCUCCACCAACUAACUACUGGUGGACUGACGGUAGCUAACCAGAAAGCCCCGGCUAACUACGUGCCAGCAGCCGCGGUAAUACGUAGGGGGCGAGCGUUGUCCGGAAUUAUUGGGCGUAAAGGGAGCGCAGGCGGUUCGUUCAGUCUGAUGUGAAAGCCCACGGCUUAACCGUGGAAUGGCAUUGGAAACUAACGAACUUGAAUUCAGAAGAGGAAAGCGGAAUUCCAUGUGUAGUGGUGAAAUACGUAGAGAUAUGGAAGAACACCAGUGGCGAAGGCGGCUUUCUGGUCUGAAAUUGACGCUGAGGCUCGAAAGCGUGGGGAGCAAACAGGAUUAGGUACCCUGGUAGUCCACGCCGUAAACGAUGAGUGCUAAGUGUCGGGGGGUUUCCGCCCCUCGGUGCUGGAGUUCACGCAUUAAGCACUCCGCCUGGGGAGUACGGCCGCAAGGCUGA
rnacentral:rRNA from 1 species